GGAGCUUGCUUCUCUUUAGUUAGCGGCGGACGGGUGAGUAACACGUGGGCAACCUGCCCUAUAGUUGGGGAUAACUCCGGGAAACCGGGGCUAAUACCGAAUAACUCAUUUCAACUCCUGUUGAAAUGCUGAAAGAUGGUUCUGCUAUCGCUAUAGGAUGGGCCCGCGGCGCAUUAGCUAGUUGGUGAGGUAACGGCUCACCAAGGCGACGAUGCGUAGCCGACCUGAGAGGGUGAUCGGCCACACUGGGACUGAGACACGGCCCAGACUCCUACGGGAGGCAGCAGUAGGGAAUCUUCCACAAUGGGCGAAAGCCUGAUGGAGCAACGCCGCGUGAGUGAAGAAGGUUUUCGGAUCGUAAAACUCUGUUGUAAGGGAAGAACAAGUGCAGUAGUAACUGGCUGCACCUUGACGGUACCUUAUUAGAAAGCCACGGCUAACUACGUGCCAGCAGCCGCGGUAAUACGUAGGUGGCAAGCGUUGUCCGGAAUUAUUGGGCGUAAAGCGCGCGCAGGUGGUUUCUUAAGUCUGAUGUGAAAGCCCACGGCUCAACCGUGGAGGGUCAUUGGAAACUGGGAGACUUGAGUGCAGAAGAGGAAAGUGGAAUUCCAAGUGUAGCGGUGAAAUGCGUAGAGAUUUGGAGGAACACCAGUGGCGA
rnacentral:rRNA from 1 species